UACGUAGGGUGCAAGCGUUAAUCGGAAUUACUGGGCGUAAAGCGUGCGCAGGCGGUUGUGUAAGACAGAUGUGAAAUCCCCGGGCUCAACCUGGGAACUGCAUUUGUGACUGCACGGCUGGAGUGCGGCAGAGGGGGAUGGAAUUCCGCGUGUAGCAGUGAAAUGCGUAGAGAUGCGGAGGAACACCGAUGGCGAAGGCAGCCCCCUGGGCCAACACUGACGCUCAGGCACGAAAGCGUGGGGAGCAAACAGG
rnacentral:rRNA from 1 species